rnacentral:lncRNA from 1 species
GCCCUCUGGUCCUCCUGGUGGUUUAACUACAAUGUUAGCUGUAGGCCAGUCCUCUGGUCCUCCUGGUGUUAUAACUACAAUGUUAGCUGUAGGCCAGCCCUCUGGUCCUCCUGCUGUUAUAACUACAAUGUUAGCUGUAGGCCAGCCCUCUGGUCCUCCUGCUGUUAUAACUACAAUGUUAGCUGUAGGCCAGCCCUCUGGUCCUCCUGGUGUUAUAACUACAAUGUUAGCUGUAGGCCAGUCCUCUGGUCCUCCUGCUGUUAUAACUACAAUGUUAGCUGUAUGCCAGCCCUCUGGUCCUCCUGGUGGUUUAACUACAAUGUUAGCUGUAGGCCAGUCCUCUGGUCCUCCUGCUGUUAUAACUACAAUGUUAGCUGUAGGCCAGCCCUCUGGUCCUCCUGGUGGUUUAACUACAAUGUUAGCUGUAGGCCAGCCCUAUGGUCCUCCUGCUGUUAUAACUACAAUGUUAGCUGUAGGCCAGUCCUCUGGUCCUCCUGGUGGUUUAACUACAAUGUUAGCUGUAGGCCAGUCCUCUGGUCCUCCUGGUGGUUUAACUACAAUGUUAGCUGUAGGCCAGCCCUCUGGUCCUCCUGGUGGUUUAACUACAAUGUUAGCUGUAGGCCAGCCCUCUGGUCCUCCUGCUGUUAUAACUACAAUGUUAGCUGUAGGCCAGUCCUCUGGUCCUCCUGGUGGUUUAACUACAAUGUUAGCUGUAGGCCAGUCCUCUGGUCCUCCUGGUGGUUUAACUACAAUGUUAGCUGUAGGCCAGCCCUAUGGUCCUCGAGGGGGUUUAACUACAAUGUUAGCUGUAGGCCUGUCCUCUGGUCCUCCUGGUGGUUUAACUACAAUGUUAGCUGUAGGCCAGCCCUCUGGUCCUCCUGGUGGUUUAACUACAAUGUUAGCUGUAGGCCAGCCCUAUGGUCCUCCAGGUGGUUUAACUACAAUGUUAGCUGUAGACCUGUCCUCUGGUCCUCCUGGUGGUUUAACUACAAUGUUAGCUGUAGGCCAGCCCUCUGGUCCUCCUGGUGGUUUAACUACAAUGUUAGCUGUAGGCCAGUCCUCUGGUCCUCCAGGUGGUUUAACUACAAUGUUAGCUGUAGGCCAGCCCUCUGGUCCUCCUUGUGGUUUAACUACAAUGUUAGCUGUAGGCCAGCCCUCUGGUCCUCCUGCUGUUAUAACUACAAUGUUAGCUGUAGGCCUGCCCUCUGGUCCUCCUGCUGUUAUAACUACAAUGUUAGCUGUAGGCCAGCCCUCUGGUCCUCCUUGUGGUUUAACUACAAUGUUAGCUGUAGGCCAGCCCUCUGGUCCUCCUGGUAGUUUAACUACAAUGUUAGCUGUAGGCCUGCCCUCUGGUCCUCCUGGUGGUUUAACUACAAUGUUAGCUGUAGGCCAGCCCUAUGGUCCUCCUGGUGGUUAUAACUACAAUGUUAGCUGUAGGCCAGCCCUCUGGUCCUCCUGCUGUUAUAACUACAAUGUUAGCUGUAGGCCUGCCCUCUGGUCCUCCUGCUGUUAUAACUACAAUGUUAGCUGUAGGCCUGCCCUCUGGUCCUCCUGCUGUUAUAACUACAAUGUUAGCUGUAGGCCUGUCCUCUGGUCCUCCUGGUGGUUUAACUACAAUGUUAGCUGUAGGCCAGCCCUCUGGUCCUCCUGGUGUUGUAACUACAAUGUUAGCUGUAGGCCUGUCCUCUGGUCCUCCUGGUGGUUUAACUACAAUGUUAGCUGUAGGCCUGUCCUCUGGUCCUCCUGGUGGUUUAACUACAAUGUUAGCUGUAGGCCUGCCCUCUGGUCCUCCUGGUGGUUUAACUACAAUGUUAGCUGUAGGCCUGUCCUCUGGUCCUCCUGCUGUUAUAACUACAAUGUUAGCUGUAGGCCUGUCCUCUGGUCCUCCUGCUGUUAUAACUACAAUGUUAGCUGUAGGCCAGCCCUCUGGUCCUCCUGCUGUUAUAACUACAAUGUUAGCUGUAGGCCUGUCCUCUGGUCCUCCUG